UACGUAGGUGGCAAGCGUUGUCCGGAAUUAUUGGGCGUAAAGCGCGCGCAGGCGGUCUCUUAAGUCUGAUGUGAAAGCCCCCGGCUCAACCGGGGAGGGUCAUUGGAAACUGGGAGACUUGAGUGCAGAAGAGAAGAGUGGAAUUCCACGUGUAGCGGUGAAAUGCGUAGAGAUGUGGAGGAACACCAGUGGCGAAGGCGACUCUUUGGUCUGUAACUGACGCUGAGGCGGCGAAAAGCG
rnacentral:rRNA from 1 species